rnacentral:rRNA from 1 species
UACGUAGGGUGCAAGCGUUAUCCGGAAUUAUUGGGCGUAAAGAGCUCGUAGGCGGUUUGUCGCGUCUGCUGUGAAAACUGGGGGCUCAACCCCCAGCCUGCAGUGGGUACGGGCAGACUAGAGUGCGGUAGGGGAGAUUGGAAUUCCUGGUGUAGCGGUGGGAUGCGCAGAUAUCAGGAGGAACACCGAUGGCGAAGGCAGAUCUCUGGGCCGUAACUGACGCUGAGGAGCGAAAGCAUGGGGAGCGAACAGG